rnacentral:misc_RNA from 1 species
AACUUUUAACAAUGGAUCUCUUGGCUCUCGCAUCGAUGAAGAACGCAGCAAAAUGCGAUAAGUUAUGUGAAUUGCAGAAUUCAGUGAAUCAUCGAAUCUUUGAACGCACCUUGCGCUCCUUGGUAUUCUGAGGAGCACGCUUGUUCGAGUGUCGUGAAGUUCUCAAGCUGUGAUGCUUUUGUUUUUUGUUAUGCUGCUUGGUUUAUUGGGCUUUGCCGUGUCCCCUUCAUUUGGGACGGCUGACCUUAAAGGUAUUAGCUUUGAUCCCUGGUGUGGAUUGGUUCUACUCAGCGUGAUAAUAUCUGACCGCUGAGGACAUCUUUCGGGGUGGCCAGUUCUCCAUUGGGGUUGCUCUCUAAUCUGGAUUGCAAGAUUUCGCGAAUCUUUGCUUCCACUUCCAAUUUUGACCUCGAAUCAGGUGGGACUACCCGCUGAACUUAAGCAUAUCAAUAAGCGGAGGCU